UACGGGGGGGGGCAAGCGUUGCUCGGAAUUACUGGGCGUAAAGGGUGCGUAGGCGGCUUUCUAAGUUGGAUGUGAAAACUCUGGGCUCAACCCAGAGACUGCAUCCAAAACUGGAGAGCUUGGGUUCUGGAGGGGAAAGCGGAAUUCCUGGUGUAGCGGUGAAAUGCGUAGAUAUCAGGAGGAACACCGAUGGCGAAGGCAGCUCGCUGGGACGGUAUUGACGCUGAGACGCGAAAGCGUGGGGAGCAAACAGG
rnacentral:rRNA from 1 species